GGGCUAGGUUGAUAGAAGUACUCAAUCAUCUUGACUCUUUUUCUCCCUCAUCUUGCCACCAUCAAAAGACAUUUUUGUGAAGAAAAUAUGGAAAAGAAGAAGAAAAUGGGCUAAAGGAAAGAAAAUAAGUGAAAAGAGAAUAAAAAUCUAUGGAAAGGAACAGGAAUGUGGAUAGAAAACCAAAUUCCUAAAAAUACAAAGAAAAGAGA
rnacentral:lncRNA from 1 species